UGGGGAAUAUUGCACAAUGGGCGCAAGCCUGAUGCAGCCAUGCCGCGUGUGUGAAGAAGGCCUUCGGGUUGUAAAGCACUUUCAGCGAGGAGGAAGGUGGUGAGCUUAAUACGCUCAUCAAUUGACGUUACUCGCAGAAGAAGCACCGGCUAACUCCGUGCCAGCAGCCGCGGUAAUACGGAGGGUGCAAGCGUUAAUCGGAAUUACUGGGCGUAAAGCGCACGCAGGCGGUUUGUUAAGUCAGAUGUGAAAUCCCCGGGCUCAACCUGGGAACUGCAUUUGAAACUGGCAAGCUAGAGUCUCGUAGAGGGGGGUAGAAUUCCAGGUGUAGCGGUGAAAUGCGUAGAGAUCUGGAGGAAUACCGGUGGCGAAGGCGGCCCCCUGGACGAAGACUGACGCUCAGGUGCGAAAGCGUGGGGAGCAAACAGGAUUAGAUACCCCUGGUAGUCCACGCUGUAAAACGAUGUCGAUUUUGGAGGUUGUGCCCUUGAGGCGUGGCUUCCGGAGCUAACGCGUUAAAUCGACCGCCUGGGGAGUACGGCCGCAAGG
rnacentral:rRNA from 1 species